GGACGCUAGUACAGGUGGUGCAUGGCUGUCGUCAGCUCGUGUCGUGAGAUGUUGGGUUAAGUCCCGCAACGAGCGCAACCCUUACCUUAGUGUUUCCCGAAAGGAUUACCCUCUAAGGGGACUGCCCCGGACAACGGGGAGGAAGGUGGGGAUGACGUCAAGUCCGCAUGCUCCUUACGUCUAGGGCUACACACGUCCUACAAUGGGGUCGACAGUGGGAUGCAAAGCCGCGAGGUGGAGCCAAUCCCCAAACGGCCUCUCAGUUCGGAUAGUAGUCUGCAACUCGACUACUUGAAGUCGGAAUCGCUAGUAAUGGCGGAUCAGCAUGCCGCCGUGAAUACGUUCCCGGGUCUU
rnacentral:rRNA from 1 species